rnacentral:lncRNA from 1 species
UAUCUCUAUUGUAUUAUCUUGAGUACCAUUUCAUUUUUUGAAUUAAGUUGUGCACCAUCAACAUGGGGCUGCCAAUAGAGCGUGUCCUCUUUGUGUAGAUCACGCAAGCCGGUCUUAGGAAGUAUCUCAAUACAAGGGUUUUUUCUUCAAGAAUUGUAAGCCUUUUGUUUCCUUCUUCAAGAAUUGUUCGGCAUUCUGUUUGUCCUAAC